CUCGUGUGGUGGACAAUAAAUUUGGACCCUUUCUUUUCUCACUCAUGGUUCUUUGUGUUUUUCUUCAUCCACAAGCUGAUGAGAGCAUGAAGAAAGUCAAGAACAAGAGAGGAUUCAGAUGCUUACUCAAGUAAGGAAGAGGGACAACAACAAAUUGAUAAAAGAAAAAAUGGCCAAAACAUUUGCAUACAGAAGAAACGAAAUUGUCAACCUAUCGCCCAGCACAGAGGACAUCAAAGCCAGAUGGCCUGCUCUAUUUGAGGCAUCUCAUAUCCAGGAUGAGUUUCACAGAAUCACAAUGGUGCACUUUGAAUCAAAGUUUAUGUCCAAGCUGGAUGAAUACACUCCCAGGCUUCUGAAACUCUUCCAGUCCAAGUGUGGAACCAUGGGCUUGAGGUUGCAGGCCAUCCUACUCAAGGUAUCAUUCAAUGAGUAUUAUGUUUUAUUUUAUAUGUUUUAUUUUAGGGAUUUUGUGGUCAAACUGCUGGAAUAUCAUUCGCUAAUUACUUAAAUCUACAGGAAUUAAUAUUAGCCUGCAAUUUUUUCUACAAAAAGAGUGAAAUAACUGCAUUCCUUUUUAAAAUAGUUUGCAUACACUCCAUGACCACUUUUAGAUUUUC
ensembl:lncRNA